rnacentral:rRNA from 1 species
AUUGAACGCUGGCGGAAUGCUUUACACAUGCAAGUCGAACGGCAGCACGGGUGCUUGCACCUGGUGGCGAGUGGCGAACGGGUGAGUAAUACAUCGGAACGUACCCAGUCGUGGGGGAUAACGUAGCGAAAGUUACGCUAAUACCGCAUACGUCCUGAGGGAGAAAGCGGGGGACCGUAAGGCCUCGCGCGAUUGGAGCGGCCGAUGGCGGAUUAGCUGGUUGGUGGGGUAAAGGCCUACCAAGGCGACGAUCCGUAGCGGGUCUGAGAGGACGGCCCGCCACACUGGAACUGGGACGCGGUCCAGACUCCUACGGGAGGCAGCAGUGGGGAAUUUUGGACAAUGGGCGAAAGCCUGAUCCAGCCAUUCCGCGUGAGUGAAGAAGGCCUUCGGGUUGUAAAGCUCUUUCGGCAGGGAAGAAACGGCUUGGGAUAAUACCCCGGGCUAAUGACGGUACCUGAAGAAGAAGCACCGGCUAACUACGUGCCAGCCGCCGCCGUAA